AGUGAACGCUGGCGGUAGGCCUAACACAUGCAAGUCGAACGGCAGCACAGUAAGAGCUUGCUCUUACGGGUGGCGAGUGGCGGACGGGUGAGGAAUACAUCGGAAUCUACUUUUUCGUGGGGGAUAACGUAGGGAAACUUACGCUAAUACCGCAUACGACCUACGGGUGAAAGCAGGGGAUCUUCGGACCUUGCGCGAUUGAAUGAGCCGAUGUCGGAUUAGCUAGUUGGCGGGGUAAAGGCCCACCAAGGCGACGAUCCGUAGCUGGUCUGAGAGGGUGAUCAGCCACACUGGAACUGAGACACGGUCCAGACUCCUACGGGAGGCAGCAGUGGGGAAUAUUGGACAAUGGGGGAAAGCCUGAUCCAGCCAUACCGCGUGGGUGAAGAAGGCCUUCGGGUUGUAAAGCCCUUUUGUUGGGAAAGAAGAGCAGCAGGUUAAUACCCCGCUGUUCUGACGGUACCCAAAGAAUAAGCACCGGCUAACUUCGUG
rnacentral:rRNA from 1 species